UACGUAGGGUGCGAGCGUUAAUCGGAAUUACUGGGCGUAAAGCGUGCGCAAGCGGCUUUGCAAGACAGAUGUGAAAUCCCCGGGCUCAACCUGGGAACUGCAUUUGUGACUGCAAGGCUAGAGUACGGCAGUGGGGGAUGGAAUUCCGCGUGUAGCAGUGAAAUGCGUAGAUAUGCGGAGGAACACCAAUGGCGAAGGCAAUCCCCUGGGCCUGUACUGACGCUCAUGCACGAAAGCGUGGGGAGCAAACAGG
rnacentral:rRNA from 1 species